rnacentral:lncRNA from 1 species
AUUACAGAAGCGUGCAGUUCUGUAGGAAGUUCUUUUUGAUAAGGGGGAGGCGAGGGCCGAAGGCCCGAGAAAAUUUUUAAAUUUAGAGUCUCUGAAAUGCCAUUUCGUGGACUUUGGGGGAAGUUUUGACAGAAUUCUGAUGGUCAGAAUACAGAGUUUUAGCACGUCGAAAUCUACAAUUAAUUUGCUUACAAUUUAGAAGAACUAA